UUACGGUCAAAUCACGCUGAAACACCGGUUCUCGUACGAUCACCGAAGUUAAGCAGCGUAGAGCCAGGUCAGUACUUAGAUGGGGGACCGCUUGGGAACACCUGGUACUGCAAG
rnacentral:rRNA from 1 species